UACGAAGGGGGCUAGCGUUGCUCGGAAUCACUGGGCGUAAAGCGCACGUAGGCGGUUCGUUAAGUCAGGGGUGAAAUCCUGGAGCUCAACUCCAGAACUGCCUUUGAUACUGGCGACCUUGAGUUCGGGAGAGGUGAGUGGAACUGCGAGUGUAGAGGUGAAAUUCGUAGAUAUUCGCAAGAACACCAGUGGCGAAGGCGGCUCACUGGCCCGAUACUGACGCUGAGGUGCGAAAGCGUGGGGAGCAAACAGG
rnacentral:rRNA from 1 species